GACGAACGCUGGCAGCGUGCUUAACACAUGCAAGUCGAACGGAGUGGCGAGCGGGUGAGUAACACGUGGGUGACCUGGCCUGCAAUUCGGGAUAAGCCAGGGAAACUGGGUAUAAUACCGGGUAGUGUGGGCUGGGGCCUGGGCCUAUCAGCUUGUUGGUGGGGUAAUGGCCUACGAAGGCGGAGACGGGUAGCCGGCCUGAGAGGGGGGACGGCCACAUUGGGACUGUGACACGGCCCAGUGUCCUACGGGAGGCAGCAGUGGGGAAUAUUGCACAAUGGGCGGAAGCCUGAUGCAGCGACGCCGCGUGGGGGAUGACGGCCUUCCGGUUGUAAACUCCUUUCACCAUCGACGCGGUAGAUUGAGAAGAAGCACCGGCUAACUACGUGCCAGCCGCCGCGGUAAUUC
rnacentral:rRNA from 1 species